rnacentral:lncRNA from 1 species
CUAGCCUCUUUUAGUUUUACUCUCUAAAUUUUUGAAUUAUUAGUUUAACAUGGUAUCAGAGCAUUUAUUAUUAAAUUCACUGAUCAUGUAUGUGUUCUUCUCAAAAUAAAGAUUGGGUGGAUAAUUUAUAAUUUGGGAUUUGAAUUAUUCUUGGCUGCCAUGUCCCAAAUCUAUAAGUUCAUUGGUUUGUUGUCAAUUGUGCUAAUUAUAAUUUAGAAUUUGGGAAUAGAAUGAUUCUUGGCCCACCGUAUCCCAAAUCUGUAACUUUUUUUGCUUGUUGGCAAUUAUGAAAAGAAUUUGAGAAAGUAUGGAAGAGGAAAAUUGGUGAAAAUUUGGAGAGAGUCAGUGCUUUGUAUCUUAUGAGUGGAGAUUUUUUUUCCAACAAGAUUGAACAUAUUAGAAGAAAGUAACCGUUUCUUGGAAACCUUUUGUUCAUAUCGUCAAUUUCAACUUGGCGUACAGGAUUUAGUAAGUUUUGGCUUAUGAAUUUUUGGCUUCCACAAUUUUUAUUUUAUAUAUUUAAAGUUCCAGCUUUGAAAUUUUUUGGCUUUCAGUCAUGUUUAAAUAGUUUCAGAAAUUUCUGGAAACACAGUCAAAUGCAACACUGCUACAUGCAAUGUCUGCCUCUCAUAUAGGUUUGUCAUCUUCUCGUUGUAUAUCAUCCUCUUUGUAGGUCUUAGAUUUGGGGGCUUCCCAUCAUAUGUCACCUAAUUUAGCCUCAUUUAUUUCAUUAUCUCCCAAGUCUCCUAUGUCGGUUGUGACUACUGAUGGUACUCCUAUGUCUAUUGUAGGCAUUGGUUCUGUUAAUACACAUUGUUUAUCUCUCAAUGACGUCUAUCAUGUUCCUAGUCUUACUUUAAAUCUUGUUUCUGUUAACCAAUUAUGUGAAUCUGAAUAUUUAGUAUAUUUUUCUUCUACUACCUAUUAUGUGCAAGACCCGCAAUCUCAAAAGGUGAUUGGGAUUGGCCAUAGGCAAGAGGGACUAUGUCUUGGAUAUGCUUAAAGUACCAGAAAUUGUGGGUUCUAGUGUUGAUUUGUCAUCUUUCCAUUCUAUUUAUGGCAUUCUCGUCUUGGUCAUGUUUCAGCAUCUCGUUUAAAGUUCUUAGUUUCUACUGGAGCAUUAGGUAAUUUGAAACUAGAUAACAUUUUUGAUUGUAGAGGAUGUAAAUAGCAAAAUUUUCUGCAUUACCUUUUAAUAAAAGUACCUCUGUUUCUGUUGCUCCCUUUGAUCUCAUUUACUCUGAAAUAUGGGGACCUUCUCCCGUUACCACUAAAGGGGUUUCAAGAUAUUAUGUUUCCUUUAUUGAUGAUUGCACUCGUUACUGUUGGAUCUUUCUUAUGAAAUGUCACUAUGACUUCAUUAGUAUUUUCAGUACAUUCAGAGCACUUGUGAAAACUCGACAUUCUACUAUUAUCAAAUGAUUUCGAUGUGAUUUGGAUGGAGAGAAUACCUCUAAUGCCUUUUCUAAUUUGCCUGCUUCUAAUGGCACCAUUCACCAAACUGCUUGUAUAGACAUUCCCCAAACAAAAUGGUGUUGAAAGGAAACAUAGACGUCUUGUUGAGAUGGCCCAUUCUAUUUUAAUCUCUACAUCCACUCCUAAUGAAUUUUGGGGAGAAACAAUGCUUACUACUGCUUAUUUGAUUAAUAAGAUCCUAACCUUACAUAAUUCAGGAUUGUCUCCUUUUGAGAAGUUGUAUGGAUAUACUCCCGAUUAUUCUUCCUUACGUAUCUUUGGUUCUACAUGUUUUGUUCUUCAACCUCAUGUUGAGCAUAGUAAAUUAUCAUCUAAAUCUUCUAUUGUGUCUUUCUAGGCUAUGGCGCAGGGCAAAAGGGAUAUCAUUAUUUUGAUCCAAUUAGUCAAAUAUAUUGUCUCUCAUCAUGAUAUAUUCCUUGAACAUAUAGCUUUCUUUUCUAUUCCUGCUUAGUUCUCAUAACAUGACUAAAUCUGAUCUUAUUCACAUUAAUCCAUUCGCUGGUGAUACCGAGAUUGUCCCACAACUAGUUCCACACACAUCCACUCUCACUUCAGAUCUUGAUUCUUGCAAGGUUUCCAUUGAUAGUUCUGCAGAUACAUCAGUUGUUCUCUCUCUUCCUACGAUUGCCCAACCAUUUCCUGAGACUAGGUCUCCUUCUCCUUGAUGCAACAUGUAAGUCUACUAAAUUACCAGAUUUUGCUUACACUUGUUACUCUAGUACUUUCAUUUCAUUUUUAUCUUCUAUUCAUUGUCUUUCUGAGCUUUUGUCCUCUAGAGAGGCAAUUUGUGAUCCAAUUUGACAUGAGGCUAUGGCUGAGGAACUUAUUGCUCUACAUCAGAUACAUACAUUGGACUUGGUAUCUCUACCACCAGGAAAACGAACUAUUGGUUCUCAAUAGGUAUAUAAAAUCAAAACUAAAUAGAUGGAUCUAUUGAAAGACAUAAAGCUUGAUUAGAUGCAAAGGGAUAUUCUCAGGAGUGUGGUAUAGAUUAUUAGGAGACCUUUGCAUAUGUAGCAAAAAUGACUAUUGUUCGCACCUUUAUAUAGUUGCUUCUGUUUAUUGAUGGAGUGUAUCUCAGAUGGAUGUUAAAAAUGCCUUCUUAAAUGGAGAUCUACAUGAAAAUGUCUAUAUGGUUCCUCCUCCUAGUGUUUCUCAUCAACCUGGUAAAGUUUGCAAAUUUAGAAAAGCUCUCUAUGGUCUCAAAUAGGCAGCACGCGCUUGGUUUGAGAAGUUUUUGCUUCACUUGGUUUUCGUUUUAAUCAUCAUGAUUCAGCUUUAUUUUACAAAUGUACAGCUGCUGGUCACAUUUUAUUCUCUUUAUAUGUUGAUGACAUGAUUAUUACUGGUG